GUUUCAGCAGCCGCGGUAAUACGUAGGGGGCUAGCGUUGUCCGGAAUCAUUGGGCGUAAAGCGCGUGUAGGCGGCCCGGUAAGUCCGCUGUGAAAGUCGGGGGCUCAACCCUCGAAUGCCGGUGGAUACUGUUGGGCUUGAGUACGGAAGAGGCGAGUGGAAUUCCUGGUGUAGCGGUGAAAUGCGCAGAUAUCAGGAGGAACACCGAUUGCGAAGGCAGCUCGCUGGGACGUAACUGACGCUGAGACGCGAAAGCGUGGGGAGCAAACAGGAUUAGAUACCCUAGUAGUCC
rnacentral:rRNA from 1 species